rnacentral:rRNA from 1 species
CAGUAGCCGCGGGAAUACAGAGGGUGCGAGCGUUAAUCGGAUUUACUGGGCGUAAAGCGUGCGUAGGCGGCUAAUUGAGUCGGAUGUGAAAUCCCCGAGCUUAAUUUGGGAAUUGCAUUCGAUACUGGUUAGCUAGAGUGUGGGAGAGGAUGGUAGAAUUCCAGGUGUAGCGGUGAAAUGCGUAGAGAUCUGGAGGAAUACCGAUGGCGAAGGCAGCCAUCUGGCCUAACACUGACGCUGAGGUACGAAAGCAUGGGGAGCAAACAGGAUUAGAUACCCGCGUAGUCCCUGUCUCUUAUAC